GGUCCAGACUCCUACGGGAGGCAGCAGUGGGGAAUAUUGCACAAUGGGGGAAACCCUGAUGCAGCAACGCCGCGUGAGUGAAGAAGUAUUUCGGUCUGUAAAGCUCUAUCAGCAGGGAAGAAAAUGACGGUACCUGAGUAAGAAGCCCCGGCUAACUACGUGCCAGCAGCCGCGGUAAUACGUAGGGGGCAAGCGUUAUCCGGAUUUACUGGGUGUAAAGGGGGCGCAGACGGCGAUGCAAGCCAGGAGUGAAAGCCCGGGGCCCAACCCCGGGACUGCUCUUGGAACUGCGUGGCUGGAGUGCAGGAGGGGCAGGCGGAAUUCCUGGUGUAGCGGUGAAAUGCGUAGAUAUCAGGAGGAACACCGGUGGCGAAGGCGGCCUGCUGGACUGCAACUGACGUUGAGGCCCGAAAGCGUGGGGAGCAAACAGGAUUAGAUACCCUUGUA
rnacentral:rRNA from 1 species